UACGGAGGGGGCUAGCGUUGUUCGGAAUUACUGGGCGUAAAGCGUACGUAGGCGGCUUUGUAAGUUAGAGGUGAAAGCCCGGGGCUCAACUCCGGAAUUGCCUUUAAGACUGCAUCGCUUGAAUCAUGGAGAGGUUAGUGGAAUUCCGAGUGUAGAGGUGAAAUUCGUAGAUAUUCGGAAGAACACCAUUGGCGAAGGCGGCGACCUGGUCCAUUACUGACGCUGAGGCGCGACAGCGUGGGGAGCAAACAGG
rnacentral:rRNA from 1 species